CAUUAAAGAGUUCUAUAACUCCCAAACCCAUGUGAACAUACCUAACGUUGCCUCGGCAGGUCGCACCUACCUUGUAGCACCCUACCCUGUAGGGCCUACCCGGGAGGUGCGGGUAAGCCUGCCGGCGGCCCACCAAACUCUGUUUGAUAUUGAAUUCUGAACCUAUAACUAAAUAAGUUAAAACUUUCAACAACGGAUCUCUUGGUUCUGGCAUCGAUGAAGAACGCAGCGAAAUGCGAUAAGUAAUGUGAAUUGCAGAAUUCAGUGAAUCAUCGAAUCUUUGAACGCAUAUUGCGCCCAUUAGUAUUCUAGUGGGCAGGACCGUUCGAGCGUCAUUUCAACCCUUAAGCCUUCGUUGCUUAGUGUUGGGAGCCUACGGCAACGUAGCUCCUUAAAGUUAGUGGCGGAGUUGGUUCACACUCUAGACGUAGUAAUUUUUUAUCUCGCCUAUUAGUUGGACUAAUCCCCUGCCGUAAAACCCCCAAUUUAUCAAGGUUGACCUCGAAUCGGUUCAGACAAACUCGCUAAAUUGAAGCAUCUUAGUCAGCGAAGGAAAAGAAACCAACAGGGAUUGCCCUAGUAACGGCGAGUGAAGCGGCAACAGCUCAAAUUUGAAAUCUGGCCCUCGGGUCCGAGUUGUAAUUUGUAGAGGAUGCUUUUGGCGCGGUGCCUUCCGAGUUCCCUGGAACGGGACGCCUUAGAGGGUGAGAGCCCCGUACGGUUGGACACCAAGCCUCUGUAAAGCUCCUUCGACGAGUCGAGUAGCUUGGGAAUGCUGCUCUAAAUGGGAGGUAAAUUUCUUCUAAAGCUAAAUAUUGGCCAGAGACCGAUAGCGCACAAGUAGAGUGAUCGAAAGA
rnacentral:rRNA from 1 species